rnacentral:lncRNA from 1 species
GGCAUUUUCCCCGCUCCUCUGGCCGCCGAAGGAGUCCUGUGGUGCCGGGCAGGAAUGGGCUGCUUGGGGACCCAACGAGCUCCCAGAGCCUUUCCUGCUGCUUCCUCUACCCCUGUGUUUCGCUAGGCUCUCGAGAUGGACUCAGUUCCAGAUUGCCCAGCCUCACAUAUUCCUUCAUAGCAACACAAAGGGACUGAGACAAUAUAUAAGUUAACAUCUGCCAUGUAGUGGAGGUUCCAGAGAAAAAGUGAGAGAAGCUGAGUCUGCACCCUCAACAUGGAGGAAAUAAGCUCUCUUAGGACCAAGAACAGAGGACAGAGGAAGGACUCCAGCAUGAUGGGCACCAAGGGAUUUUGGUCCUUCUGAGAAAGAGGAGAGACAGGGUCUUCCUCUUUGCCUAAGCUGGAGCGCAUUGGUGUGAUCAUCGCUCACUGCUGCCUCAAACUCCUGGGCUCAUGCGACCCUCCCACCUCAGCCUCCUGACUAGUUGGGACUACAGAAUUGGUUCCUUCCAGUGAGUUCUUGGUCUCGCUGACUUCAAGAAUGAAGCCACAGACCUGUGCGAUGAGUGUUACAGCUCUUAAAGAUGGUGUGUCCAGAGUUUGUUCCUUCAGAUGUUCAGAUGUGUCCGGAGUUUCUUCCUUCUGGUGGGUUUGUCCUCUCGCUAACUUCCAAGAAUGAAGCCGUGGACGUUCACAGUGAGUAUUAGACCUCCUCAGGUUAGUGUGGACCCAAAGAGUGAGCGGCAGCAAGAUUUAUUAAGAGCAAAAGAACAAAGCUUCCACAACACGGAAAGGGACCCAAGCUGGUUGCCUCUGCUGGCUCGGGUGGCCAGGUUUUAUUCCCUUAUUUGGCCCCGCCCACAUUCCGCUGACUGGUCCAUUUUACACAGUGCUGAUUGGUCCAUUUUACAGAGUGCUGAUUGGUGCAUUUUUACAGAGUGCUGAUUGGUGUGUUUACAGUCCUUUGGCUAGACACAGAGUGCUGAUUGGUGUGUUUUUACAGAGUGCUGAUUGGUGCAUUUACAAUCCUUUAGCUAGACUCAGAGUGCUGAUUGGUGCGUUUUUACAGAGUGCUGAUUGGUGCGUUUACAAUCCUUUAGUUAGAUGCAGAGUGCUGAUUGGUGCGUUUACAAUCCUUUAGCUAGACACAGAGCACUGAUUGGUGCGUUUACAGUCCUUUAGCCAGACAGAAAAGUUCUCUAAGUCCCCACUCUACCCAGGAAGUCCAGCUGGCUUCACUUCUCAAUAUACGCAUUCCCUAUUUAAUUUUCCCAUUUUCUUGCGAUGCUUCUGUGUUUUGGCUUUGUGGAAAUCCAUUCUGCAUGCAAUACAGAACACAAAUUUGGCAAAAACAGUACUGGUGAUCAAAAAGCAGCACUGUUGCAUAAGUGUCUUCUUAUCCUACUAUGCACAUAAUUAUUUUCAAACUAGUCAGUAACUUAGCUGGCUUCCUCAGGCAAAUGCAGCUUUAAUUUAUUAAAAGCCCUGGAAUAUCAUCAGCUGGAAGGAAUGCCAACACAGGUAAAUGAGGCAUUUUUAAACUGACGUUUUCAUUCUUGCCGUGUUGUGCAGGCAAUCUACUCAUUUGAAUUUUUCUCCAAAUGCAUUGAGCUGAAUGGAAAAAAACAAACUUUAUUGGUAACACCCUGAAAUCCACUCUUGGAAAUCUUGAUUGCACCUAAUUCCAAAUCUGUCACUAUAGUUGGGGAUUCAACUGAAAUCCAUUUUCUUCUUUAUAAAGACAAUAACAAGGUCAAGAUCUAAGCAAACACACAAAUGUGAACAACAGGGAAAGAACCCAUUGACCUACCAAGACAGGCUGCCAACAGAAUUUUGAAGGCUUGCCAAGAUGCUUUUAUGGAGGUAGAGUGAAUGAGAUUCCGUAAGUGCAAAAUAAUCCUUUUAAGACUACCCAGAAAGUAAUAUAAGUGAACUAGUUAUAUAAGAUUCAGUGAGGACUACCAAAACAUUGGGAAGAAAUGUGGAUUUUAUCAUUCAAGGAAAUAUAAUUUUAUUGUAAGAUAUAAUCUUUGUUUUUGUAGUCAAAUAGAAACAUUCAUGCCUUAAUACAACGUUUGGUAAAAAGAACUGAAGAAGACACCAUAGAAGAUUUUAACAAACAAUGAACUCAUUAGCUAAAAGAUUUGUCAUGAAAUAAUGAUUGAUUUAGUUGUUUUCUAAAAUAUUUCUAGUGCCUAUUAGAUGUUGAAGGAGACUUUGAUCAUGAAGUGUGUUCUCUGAGGAGCUGCUAUUUUUAUUUUUAUAUUUGUUUGAAGUGAAUUGUCCUGCUAAUUCUUUAACAUAAAAUAUCUUCAAUUACAUGAUUCAACAUUUUAAAAAGUGAUUAAGACAGAAGAAUAUGUGCUGGGAUUUAUUUUUGGAUCUUUGAAGUAGCAAAGAGUAGCAGAACUCCUUAAUCCAUAGAGUGGUUAUUUUGCUGUAUGAUGACUCUUGUAUUUACUCCCUGAAUUACCCUUUCCACUAAAAAGUAUUAAUGAGACAUUAGUAGGCUAUAGAAAAAAAUACUUCUGAUCUACUUAGAAAUAUUCAUGAGGUUUUCUCCUGGUGGAUUCACAUCAAAUUUUAUUUUUUAAAACCCCAAGUAUUUUUAUUUGAUGAUUAAUAAGUAAGAUGGAGGCUGGUAGGUGGAAAUCGCCAGCAGGAAAAUAAAAUGCUUUGGCUAAGCCGACAACUGCUACUGUCCUCCUCUGUACAGACUCUCCUGCUGAAGACUCACGGAGGCUUAUUUCAAGUCUUCUUUAGUUCAUUACCUGCAUGUUCAAAUGGAGCUGGUACUGUGACUCACAGCUUUCUGUCCAAGAAUGCGAUUUGUACCUCUACAAAUCUUCUACACCUUCUUCAUCUAGUAAACACUUACUCUACAGGUCUCAUCUCAAAUCUAUUACUAUAUGCAACUAUAGUACAUAAGCAAGCCAUUUAAAAAUGUUAAAGGAAGAUAUGCAUUGAUAUGGGUUGGCUGUUUUCCCACCCAAAUCUCAUCUUGAAUCGUAGCUCCCAUAAUCCACACGUGUCAUGGGAGGGACCCAAUGGAAGGUAAUUAAAUAAUCGGGGUGGGUUUUUCCCAUGCUGCUCUCAUGAUAGUAAAUAAGUCUCAUGAAAUCUGAUGGUUUCAUAAUAUAAAGGGCAGUUCCCCUGCACAUGCUCUCUUGCCUGCCACCAUGUAAGAUGGGCCUUUGCUCCUCCUUUGCCUUCUGCCAUGAUUGUGAGGCCUCUCCAGCCAUGUGGAACUGUAAGUCCAUUAAAUCUCUUUUUCUUUAUAAAUUACCCAGUCUUGGAUAUCUCUUCAUAGGAGUGUGAAAAUGGACUAAUAGAUACAUAUAGGUACACAUACAUGUAUACAUAAAGCCAUUCCAAAAGACUUUGCUUCCUGAAGUUUGUAAAUGUAAACAAAUUUAUUGUACCAUCAUUUAGGUUACUACGUUGCUCACUAACAUAGAAACAAUAUCUAAAAUGGGUACUUAUAGGGUUAUUAAAAUAUAGUAUGAAUAUGGCUACUGGAAAAAAGUCAAAGAUAUAUUUUGAGGCCACUACUCUACGUCUCUUGAUGUUCUCUUGUACACAUUUGAUAUUGCACAAAAGCCAAAAGUUUGGACUCCUUUGAUUAAAGGCAAGGUCAAGUAAUCCUGCUGGUUCUACCUCUCCUCCCAUUUCUUAAAUGAAAGGAUGUAGUCAUAUAAGGUGCUGUUUAGUAAAAUGGUGCCGUGAAUUCAGCAUGAAAUGUCUGGGCAAGUGUUUUUCAAGUUGUCACAUAUAUACUAUAUUUAUCUUCCUCCUUUUCCCUCCUCAACCUCAGUCCCCAUCACCCAGUGUUUCAUAAGGUUUUACUUUCUGUAGCUUAUACUGUAAAACCAGGAGUUCCCUUCCUCCUCUCCCAAAUAUAACCUUUUCUAAUAAUAUUAAUUGCACUUUCCCUAACUAUACAUACCUCCCUGGAGAUUUUGAACUGUAAUUCUUUCUCUCCUCCAUUUUCCUUGAGCAUUUUUCAUCUAGUGGAAUAUUCGGUGGCAAAGCUCUCAUUCUGGAAGAAGUUUAGCCAUGUAAGCAUAGAAGAAAUAAGCCAACAAUGGUAAACAUAGUUAAUGCAUGUAGUUAAGUCUUCUAAACAUGUCACUUGAAUGAUGUCACAUUUUGCUUUUUCAAACUAGGAAUCAACAAAAUGGAGGAACAUUUGAGGUUUGUUAAGAAAUUUCCCUUCUUAGCCAUAGAACUAAGAUAUUUUUAAAUAAAGAAGAUCAUAGUGGGCCAUAAAUGAUGUGCCUUUCUAGGAUCCCAAAAUGUUUUAUUGAUUGAAUUAUAUAGAGAGAUUUAAUGGAACCGUGGUUGAAAAAUGCUUUUAAAGUCUUUGAUCACUGGGAUAUCAAUGGAACAAAUGGGUUAAAACAUUUUCAGAAUUUAAUCAUUUAUCUAGGUAACAGGGUUGGGGGUAAAUGGCGGGAGAGAAGGGGAGGGCCGGGGCAUUAAUGAAUAGUACUCCAUGUAAAAAGAAGAAUUGACUAGUAACAUCUGUACUAUUUAAAUUAACAGGCUGGCAUAUAUUGUUGUGCAGGUUUUGCAUUGCCCAAUUCUUGGGGGGGGCGGCAUUCACAUUUGUAGUCAUUAUGGGUUCCUCUAUUUAUAAUGCCAAUUUUCUAGCAGAUGUUGGUUUAUUGCCUUGAGAAACUGUUAGAUUCCUCUAAUUUUUGCAAAGAUGGCUUUGGGAAGUUGAAAGAUUACCUGAUUACUAUUAGAGAAUCCUGCUACCAAUACAUACUUGUCUUGUAUAAUUUGGGCAAAAUAUAAUAUUCCUGAAUCUUAGAUUCCUUGUUUGUAAAAUGUUUAAAAUAUAUCUAAAUGUAAGAAUUGUUGUAGCAUAUAUAUGUGAGUACAUGAAUGUGGCCGUCACAGCAGCUGUAAGUGGAAGAUAUUAUAAAUAUUGUUAAAACCUUCUGAUGUUUUAUUUUAAGCUGAUAGUUUUUCUUUAUGCUGACUUUACAGUGAGUUUUAAACAUACACUUGAGUUUAUCAUUUGUAUAUAACUACUGAUAGAAAUCUGAUGAAAAACACUAAUAGUAGUUUAUAAAAGAUUUUUUUCAAUAUGAACUUUUUGUUUCCAUUGUGAGAAAUUAAAUUUCAAAAUGUAAUUAUUAAAUGUAUGCCUGACUUUCAAAUGUUUUUCUAUAUCCAGCUAAUUAAAAAUAUUUAUAACGUAGUAGUAGUUAAAUGUCAUGUUCGCCUUAUUAGAAAGAAUGCCUUCAAAUCAGUAUUAUCAUGAUUACCAUUUAUUUAACAUCUUCAGUAUGCAGGGCAUUUAUAAAAUCUGUAGAAAUUAAUUUUCUCUAAAUGCAACAAGCUUUAUGACCAGCACUCACUGUCUAUAAAAGAUGACUUGCUUGGCAGAAGAGGAAACAGUUUCUUCAGACCUUCCAGCCACAGUCAGCCCUGGUGACAUUGCAUAUCAGCUUCUAAAGGGCCUCGCACAUUCCUUGGCUUGUGAUGUCCCUUCCCCAUCAUCAAAGACAGCAACGUUGAGUUCCUGAUAUCAUACUGGCUUUUUUUGGGAAACUUCAGGCUACCAUACCUGCUUCAACUGUAGGAGAAUCUUAGUUCUGGAGAGUUGACCCUCCAGGCGAAGCAUUAGGCUUUGAUACAAUUUGUCUGGUACCGGCUGUAGAUCUGGUUUGGGCCCCAGACUAUCUUCCCUGUCCUCAAGAAUCAAAACCAACUUGGAAUGACUCCUGGCCCACUCAGCACCUUUCCGGAAGCCAGAAGAAUGAAGUGCCACACAUAUCAUCAGAGAGAAUUCCAAGGAAGAGGGAAUGGUCUAUAGUGUCUCAAGCCACAUUAAUCCUUCAAGAACAGUGUUAACUUUCUCAGGCUACUGGAACUCCACUUUUUGGAACUGUUAUAUUUACUGUUGGGGAGUGACUUUGGCACCAAGGAGAACUUGGCUCAAAUGAAUGGUUUUGGAUCACACAUCUUCAUGAUUUGGGAAUGAUAUGUGUGUUUAUUUUAUGAAAAAUGUUAGUAAUGAAGCAUUUAAAAUAUAUCAAAAGGAAAAUCUCCAAGAGUUGGUGAAUCAUGCUGUUGCCAAUAAUAGGCAUGUGACAUAACUGAACAUUUCAUCAUCUUCAGUAAAUAAUCAAGAUGGGCUGCUGCAGUAUGCUGAGGGUUCACUUCAGUCCCUAGUGACCUUGGGUUUUCCUGUGCUUGAAGGUGUCAAUAGUAAAGCCUGCAAAACAGCAAAGAUGGCAGCCUGCUCUUUUCUCUGGGACCUCCAUCCCAGGGAGGUACGAACCUAUUUGCUUGCCUGAACACAUCUAUGGGGGUGGUUGUCGUCCUCGGUUUGGAGAUUCUGCCCAGUAAAGAGAAACAGCAUAAAGGACUUGCACGAAAAAUCAGUCUGGCUGCUUCUCUGUAGAACUGCUGCACUGUGCUGGGGAGCGCUUCAUUCCCUGGUCUCCUCGGACUCCCUAGAGCCUGAAGGCAACAAUGGCUAAGGCUGUUAGACAGCAAAGAUGGCGGUCCAUCCCCCCAGCUGGGGCAUCCGUCUCAGAGAGACUCAGAACCACUGCCAGCUGGAAAACACCAGCAAGAAGGGCUGGUGACCCAUCAGGAGGUCCCACUGAGUGGGGGUCAUGGACCUGCAUAAAAAACAGUCUGGCCACUUUUUCACAGGACACCUACACCGAAGGCAACGAUAGCUAAAACUGAGAAACAGCUAAGAUGGCAGCCACCCCUUACUCUGGGAGCUCCCUCAGAGAGGUGCAAUGCUGCUACCAGUGGCUUACUGGAGUUCCAAGUCAGCGGGUCCUGUGAAGUGUCACGGAAGUGGGGCCUGCAGAUCAUCACUGCUCAGCCUUCUGGAAUCAGCUGCUUUCCAAGGGGUUCUGUAGAAGGAGAUUGUUCAACAGAACAC